GCUGUUGACACUGAACAAAUACAUGAGUUAAGGAUAACCUCCUUUCCUGAAUUUGGAGGAAGACAUCACUAACCUCACUGACAUUCUUUUUUCUUUCUUCUCUGUUACCAGUCAGUAUACCUCUGCCGUCUCACACUGCACUCAGCACCACUUCUCCAUCUUCACUGGCCCAACUGUGAUGCGCUUAAAUGCAAUCAGUAAGGCUGCAAGCUGCCUGGGAUGUGGCCUUUAGCCCAUGUCUUUUGCUCCGGAACAUUUCACUUUGGUCUCCAAACUCAAGCACUGCUACGCGAGCUCUAUAACCAUCCUGGGCUUUUAUGACGUGAAGGUAUUGAGGAGAUUCUGAAUUGUUUAUAUUAUUUCCUUCCUAAGACUGAAAGCUCAUGGUUUCUUGGUGGAUGGGGUAUAAUUCAGGAUUGACUGGAAUUCUUCCUUAAUUUCUCUCUCUCUCUACAUACCCCCCCCCCCACACACACACACACACACACGGAANUAAAAAAGAACAAAACUCUGGCAUUUGUCAUGAUUUUGUUUAGAGUAACAUAAUGUUAAUUUAAAAAAUAUUUUAUUUAUUUGUUCAUGAGAGAGAGAGAGGCAGAGACAUAGGCAGCGGGAGCAGCAGGCUCCAUGCAGGGAGCCCGAUGUGGGACUUGAUCCCAGGACCUCAAGAUCAUGACUUGAGUCAAAGGCAGACACUCAUCCACAGAGCCACCCAGUGCCCACAUUAUGUUACUUUAAUAUUUCAUUCUUAAAGAGCCUACUCCCCCAGGGAUGAGGAGAGGAAGAACAAGGGCUUAAAGAGACAGAGAGCCUAGACAGCCACACCAUUAUUUGGAUAAUUACCAACGAUGACCUGAGUUAAGACAGCGGCAUUGGGAAGUAAAAUAGCUUAAAGUUGUUAUAUAUACAAGAGAUCAAACUGACAUAUAAUCUGAAUUAUAUUUUUUUUUCUAAAAUUACUCUAAGAAAAUGUUAAUAUUUAACUACUAAAAGCAACUAUGUGUUGCAUAUCAUUUACGCCCCCCAAACUGUACAUUUCUAUAUAAAGUAUUGAGCACGAGGGAAGAGUACAACAAACAGUUACUAUUUUUAAAAAAAAAAUAUUUCGUUAUUAUCAGUUUUCUAUACUCUUACCUAUUCAUUUCUGCCAGCAGUUGCAAAGGGGAGAUACAUUUCCCAUCAUCUUAGAUUUGGAUAUCAUAUGCAGAAACUUUAUAUAAGUUGUCCAGUACAGUAGUCCCCGCUUAUUUAUGGUUUUGCUUUCCCCGGUUUCAGUGACCCGCCAUCAACGACAGUUUAGAG
rnacentral:lncRNA from 1 species